UAGACCGGGACGGGUCCAGACAAGGAGGAUUGGAUGCGGUUCUGGAGAUGCGACAGCGCUGAUACCGUGUUACAGUUCCAGUUCUGAAGACAUACCAACACAUGCAACAUAGCAGCGGGAGGAGGCAUACUGCUCGAGGAGGCUGCAGUCCGUGCUGUCCGCACCGCCGUUUCUUGGACUGGGCGCUCGCACCGUCAUCACCGACUCUCCCGUCCCGCUGCUCAAGAAACCGUCCUCCUGCACCGCCAGCUCUUCGCCCGUAGUCUGGAAGCCCGAGUCCGGGAAGGAGACGUCCAUGGCCGCUUGGUUUGUGGUGCUGCAAGCCGCAGGGGGCGGCGGCGCCGCCUGGCACGGACCACCGGGGAUGGGAGGGAGAUCCCGCAGCUGUUCCUCUACAGACUGCUUCCACUGCAGCAUGGACUGCGCCUGGAAGAGAAACCUAACAGCAUCCUCCUGUACCAGCCGUUGUAACCUCUCCUCCUCGCACUGCCUCUGCACCCUGCAAAUCAAAAUACGCACCACUUGAGUGGAAAUUAUGUUUGGUCCAAGUGGGGACAAAAUAAAACUACAUGAAUCUCAAAUUUUGGACACAGUCCAUCUGUAUUUUUCUCUGUCUGGGCGACAGAAUUUAGAGCCUGCUCCUUUGACCAUGCCUACUCUGUUGCUAUUGGUCAGUUGCCAAAGAAGACAUUGAGGGAGGUCUUUAGCUCUCUAGAAACAAAUAAAUCUUUCCAUCGCUGCCCACUUCAAUAAAUA